GCUUUCCAAGAGAAAACGAAUAUGAUUCACCUCAGAGCUUGGGCUCCAAAGAACAAGAAAUGAAAGCCAACACUGGAAAACAAAUAGUGCUGAAGCAAGUAUCAGUGAGGAAUUCAAAGGUAUCCUGAGGCUGUGGUGGAGCUUCGCGUCCUUGCUGUGAUCACAAUUCAGAAAUUGUCAAGAGUCAACAUAUUUGGGAAAAAAAUUAUAUUUCCUUCACUGACUGAGAUUUUUACUUUAGUUUCUAGUCUACUUUUUGGAUUUCUGCUAAGUGUGCUUGUUGCUAAUUUCUGAUAACUUGACACCAUCUUGCUAACACUUUUGCUUUCAUUUUUUGGACCUUUCUUAUUGUGUAGAGUACUUGAUUUCUGAACAUUCAAAGCUCAGAACUUUUUAAUAGACUAAAAUCCAGAAAUGCUGAUUCCUUUAAAAUUCAAGGCAAAGUUUAUUUAAAAAUGAUGUAAGAAUUGUAUUUGCACAUAGUAAAUACAGUUCAUGUUGUAUUACAUUUGCAAUAAGAAGUAGGUGAAAUUCUGCUCGAGAGAAUUUCCUAGACUGGGGUUUUGAAAGAAAUUCUGAGCUCUUUUUUUUUUUUGUGUGUGUGUGUGUGUAAAUUAGUAGUAGCUGCACUGUAACCAGUAGUUUUACUCUGUCAUGAAGCUGGUGUCAGAACAGAAGAAAGCCCUAGAUGAGCAUGAACAGGAAGUGAUGUGGAGGAGAGAAGCAAGGUACACAGGGAGAGAGGCAACACUACUAAACCAACUUUAUCUGUUGCUCCACUAGAAGAUCUUGCCCCUACAAAACCAGCCUCUCUUACCUCCUUGAACCUCUGUGGCUAUAACAAUACCAUCACUGGAAGAAAAGAGAGAUUACUUCAAAACUAUGAAAGUCAGACUUUGAGAUUUAUGAAAACUAAUACCCAGAAUUAGGCUUCCAAAUCCUUAUUCAGGUGCCUCAACAAUGCCAAGUUGCUUGCGCCAGGUGUAGUUCCACUUAAGCCAAUAGGACCACAUUUGGUGUCAGUUAUUACUGAGGCAGAAUAAAAGUCUUAGGAUUUAGCCCUGAAUUUCCUGACUUUGGAAGUUUGAAGUAUCUAUUAGCUCCCUUUGACACUGAUGAAAGUUAUUAUCUCAGCUUCUUUGAAAAUUAGGUCACCUAUUUACAGCUCAGAUCCACAACUGAUUUAUGGCAGCUUAACAAGUUACCAUCUAUCAGCUGAACUGCUAUAAUUGUCCGUGAAAUUCUUUUAUUGAAGUUUUUAACAAGUCACAUUCCUUCACAGCUGGGGAGGUCGAGGAGCCCAUGAACAGUUAUUGGCAGUGACUACAGCUCAGUUGACAGGUGUGACUUGCUGAACUACUGAUUUGAUGAGUGCCCCAUUCCUGACUAGGCACCUAAGUAAGGAUGGAAUAGCCUAAAUUUGGAACUACAUCUUUGCAGAUCUUAUGCUAGAAGCACACUCAUUCUUACCUUAGGUGACAAAGGAGCUGUGCACCAUGGUUUGUUUGGAUUCCCCACCAGAGUCCUGACGGAUCUGGUUUUGUUUGUUGGCCUGCAUACCAUCCAUGGAAUCAGAUAGAAAUGUAAGUAGGGAAAAUGCAUUGCACCAAGUUUUAUUUGUGUGGAGUUUUAUACCUUAACACAGGACUAAAAGUGUGUUGCACACAUACAAGUUUGGGCACAGAAGUUCAGAUUCUGUGAUGGUUUUGUGUGAAAUGUGUUCAGCACUUGUGGUACAGGAUGUGAGCAGAAGAAGAAUUGGUUACAGCUAUGGGCGCUCGGUCCACAGCUGUCCCCUUCCCAAAUGCAAAAGAAGUUGAAAAAACAACAGAGUUUCAAUUCACACUGAACAGUGAUCUUCUUGCAAAGCUUUAGAAGGUCAGGUGAGAUUCCUCCACUGCUGAAAUUUUGUCCAGUGAGACUUCCAUUACUACCAGUUUAGGAUCUACCCCCUUGUCUCCUGCAGCAUGAAUAGGAAAUUGCUUCAGGUUGGAAAAAUCUGGGUGGAGGGAAAGGGAUGGGGAACAGGAAAUCUUUAGACCAGUUUUACCAGUGAAGGCCCUGUAUUGGUAAGCAAUAGCUUGAGAGAGAGAUAAUCAGCUGUGGAGUUUGUGCACCUCUCACUUUCUGGGGCUGAGCAGUGAAGGUCUGGGUCUUACUCACAUUGAUAUAAAUCAGAAGAAAAUUCCUUGAAAUUAAAUGAGUAUAACAGAGUCGUAGAGAGUGAUGGAUACAGACACGGCUUGGUGGAGACCAUUUACUUAAGCACUUGUUCGGUGUGCAAUGACAGCCUGGGAGACCGCUGGCUGAUAGAAGGAUUCACAAUCACCAACUGCACAUAUAACCACAGGGGUGGGAUUUCAUAAGCUAUCCUAAACUGGGAAUUUCCCCUGAGCCAACAUUGUUACAUACGCAGAAGUCUUGCGAGUUGCAAUUUCUUUUUAUGUCCUUGGAGAAGUUGAAACUGGGUUUGAGUGGAGCAAAUAUGGAAAGUCAUUUUCUUCUUUCAACCAAGAGACCUUCAUCUCUAUUGGGAGACCCAUGUCCUGGUUGCUCUCAGCCAUCUGUCCUGAGCAGGAGAGUCACUGAGCUGGAGAGCACUGGUCUGACGGGAACGUACCGCAACUGCGGGAAGGAUAAGGGCACACUGUGCACAGAAACUGAGGAGAGAAGAGUCUGUUACAGGGGGAAUCUGGUAAUUACAAUGUUAUUAAGUAAUUUCUGCUUGAUCCUUACAGCAAAUCUUCACACACUCAGUUUACAUUAUUUGCACUGAAAUGGAGCCCGCUACCUCUCCACUCCAGUCAUCGACACAAUAUUUUGUGCGCAAUACUGAAUCUGCACAAAUUCAAUGUGUAUUUAAUGCAUCUAUCUAGAAGUAACUGUGAAAAGACAAAUCCCCCAAAACCCAAACAAACCAGGCUUUAUAAGCAGAUCAGUAGUUCUAGUGCAAGGUAAAGUGGCUUGUUUUUACUGAGUGUGAUAGACUCCUUCAGAGAUUAUGACUUUAUGUGAAAUGUUCUAGGAAUAUUUCAUGACCAGAUUACUGUACUUUUUUUUUACUGCAACAUGUGCAAUUCACUUGAUGUUCUUGUGCACUUUUUUGAUUUUUUUUAAUUUCAUUUUGUAUGAAAGCUUUUUCAUUUACCUCUCCCUUCCCAUUAUUUAUAAAAGCUAUUGUGGUUUUAACAGUUUAAAAUUGCAUUGUUCUAGUAAAUAGCAGCUCUCAAAUGUCAUGUUUCCAUCUUUCAAACAAAGGAUGAAUAAACAAGUAGAUUCUGAAGGGCUAUCAGCUGUCCUGAAUAGCAAUAUUGAACAACCAAACAUGGAAAUAGCCAGGAGAAGUCUGAAUCAAUCCAAGCUUGAACAAUUAAUAAUUUUGAUGUUAAUCUCAGGGGUGAGAAAACAGUAAGUAUUGCUGAGGGGAGACAGAGUUGCUAUUCUUUGCAAACAUUUUGGAAAAUCUCACACAUCUCCAUUCAGUGAUUUCGAAUACACUUAACAAUCGUCUUCUGUUCAUUUGUUUUUUACUUCAUUGUUGCUCCAGUUCAGAGCCCCAGCAAGGGCCACCGCCUGCCCUGGGCUGGGGAGGGAAGUUCCAUGUCACAAAGGAUUUUAAGGAUUUUAAAAAGUAACAUCAGUUUAAAUCCGAGGGUAAGUGCAUAAAUAUCUAAAAAAAUUUCUACAGAGGCUAUCCACUUUGCCAAGUAUUUUAAUUUUGAUAGAAAUUCUGGUGCGAUACACAGCACUUUCAAAUUUCCCUUCUGAACUCAAGCAGGAACACUUGUCCACAGCGAUCACUGUGGUUCAUUCCACGACCUGCUCUGGUCACCCGGUUGGAAAUCCAGACCGAUGCCCAGGAGGCUGCUCUGCAUUGACAGCACUGAGCCAGAGUUCAGCAUCUGGCUUCAUCUGGACUACAACUGUGACACAGAGCUAUUGGUGUGAGAAAGCAACCCUAUUUCCAUGUAAAAAAAUUCCUUGCCUACAGCUCUGCAAGUUAAGAGCCAUAGUUCUCCUCCCAUUAACUUAAAUGGGGAUACUGCCUCUGGUUUCUGUUGGAGUCUCCUCGUGGAGAGGGACAGAGUCUCCUCAUGGAUUUUUUUACCAAAAAGAAAAAGACAUCUAAGUAUAUUCAUAUCUUCACUUCUGGAUCAAGAAUUAACCUGAUGUCUUUAACCCUUAGAUCAGCUCUUUACCACCUUGCACCUUGCAUGCAGUUGCAGGUAUGUGCUACUAAAGCCAUUUCCUGCUCUCUCUUCUACGGGAGCAGUCUAUACAGGCUCGAUACAUAUAUUAAGUGCUGGCAGCAGGGAGAAAGCAAUGAAAGCCAUCUCUGUUUCUACUUUUGGCCUGUUGGACUAACACACUACAGCCGUUGUUUCCAUAAAAGUAAACAUCAGUGGGAUAUACUGUGAGGUCUGGGGAAAGAAUGAGCUGUUUUUAGCCCGAGAGUAGUUCAUAUCCUAACGAAAGUUGCAACCUGGUUAUAUAACACCAAGCCCCAUCAGAAGAGCCAAAAUAAUACACUACAAUUGCUUAAGAUGAUAAUGUUUUCAUGACUAACAUGUGAACAUGUGCUCGAAAGAAGUGUUGCCUGUUUUUCCCCUUAUGGAGAUACCAAGAGUCAUAGGGAGCUACACUAGCCAGAGACCAAGCCAAUUGAGGCCACUUUGUUUUGACUCCUGGGAGAAGUUCCCAUUGCCUUCAGUGAGAGCAGGUUCAGGCCCUGGGAGAUCACAGGUGUCCAUCUUCUGGCCCUUUUCCCUGCCAUAAUACACUUCUCGACCUCAGUGAUUUACUCCAGUAUAACUGAAUAGAUACAUAGGCCUGCAGUAUUAAACCUUUCAGAUCUCAUGUUCUGUGCAUUAGCACUGCUUUCUCCGUGGGUUUAAGACAAAUCUAACUUAAAAAAAUCCCCUAUUAACUUUUCUAACACCAAUUUGUUAAAAUAAUUGGGAAAAUAUUGGGCAAAUCAUUUGCAGUCAGGUCUUGUGAUAGCAUCUUAAAAUCAGGGAAAAUAAAAGAUGUCUGUGAGCCAGAAAUCAAGGCAGGCUAUUCUAUACACUUUUUUCUUCUAUCUAUUUUAUGGGUUUGUAUUCAACUAAUUUUACAAUUUCUCAUUUGUUCUGUUGAUGCAGAACAAUUCUAGAUGCGGAAAUUCAUCCUGCUUCUCUUUGCACCAGGUUAACACUAGCUAAUUUCCCAGCCCCAGAAGAAUUACUUUUGAUUUACAUCAUUCUGAAUAGGCAGAGAUUUCAGCCCUCAUAUCUACCCACCAGUUGCAAAUCAAACCUGUGUCUACCCAGUGGGUCAAAACUAAAGAGACUGCAUUUGCGGAAUCACCAAAAUAAAAUUACCUCCUUUCUUCCC